UACGUAGGGGGCUAGCGUUGUCCGGAAUCAUUGGGCGUAAAGCGCGUGUAGGCGGCCCGGUAAGUCCGCUGUGAAAGUCCAGGGCUCAACCCUGGGAUGCCGGUCGAUACUGCCGGACUAGAGUUCGGAAGAGGCGAGUGGAAUUCCCGGUGUAGCGGUGAAAUGCGCAGAUAUCGGGAAGAACACCCGUGGCGAAGGCGGUUCUCUGGGACGGUACUGACGCUGAGACGCGAAAGCGUGGGGAGCGAACAGG
rnacentral:rRNA from 1 species